UUUGCCCCAAAUACAGGAAGUCUCGUCAAUAAUUGCAUUGUGAAAUCGCAUUAUGAUGUAUUUUAUGUAAAUUGACAUUUAUUCCUCGCGUGAUAUAUAACAUUCAAUAGCGCAGUUUCUAUUUUGAUCGUAACAGGAUUAGCGUCUUAAAUAAUUCUGUUUUAGAAUUAUCGAAACAGAAUCUGAAUUAUUUCUUAAAGUAACUUGCAGAUUAGGCGAAAUUGUUCAAUGUAAAUUUAGUUUAGAGUAAUGAGUAAUAAGAUAGAAAUGUAUGCAGUUUGCGCAAACAUCCAUCCAGUUAUCUAGUAUUAAUUCAUUCUCAUUAGUUGUAAACAUACUGAGUGCGAAGUAGACAAGAAUUUAAUAAAGUUCUAUUUAAUGUAUAUAAUAUAUAUUAUUUACACAUUUUUCACAGAAAACAAGAUAAUCUGUGACUGAAAUGACUCGGGAGUGAUUCUUCUUUCGUAGAUCUUCCUCGUCGAGUAUUUCGGUCUUCGAGUCCAAAAUGGAACCCUUGCACACCCAAAGCUGAACCGUCCUUUCACUCUUCGAUCUUACUGUUGGGAUACGCCACGGGAUCCCACAUGUGAUGGCUGCCAUCACCUCUCUUCGUCACGACGGACAUCACGAGUUGUUGCGACGGUUGCUUCAAGUCGUACGCCCAGCCGAUUUUCGCGAAGAAGUCGAUAAACAUCGUCGUGAUGUUUAGCAUGUAAUUGCCCAAUUCGUCCGCUUUAUAAUCCCACGGGAACACAUGAUGAUAAUUGUGCCAGCCCUCGCCGUACGUCAGAAAAGCAACCAGCUUAUUAUUCGCCGGAUUAAUGUGUCUGUUAUUAAAAUAGUUUGUAUUAAUACUUUGACUGCAAUUCCCACUUAAUGAAGAUGCAUCCCUGAUGUGAAAGUAA